AUGAUGUCAAAUGCAUGCCAUGAUCACGAAGGUGGUUUCCCCAGGGUGAGGCUCCUCCAUUGCACUCCAGUUGUGCUGACCCCUGAGAUUUCCCCAAGUGCGGGAAACUCAACUGCAUAAUUUGUGGUAGUGGGGGAUUGCGUUCGAGGCUUUCCCCCU
ensembl:snRNA U1 U1 spliceosomal RNA